UAUGUUAUGCAGAUGGCGCUGGAUGGACGG
rnacentral:piRNA from 1 species